CUGGCUUCCUCCUGGCAGUCAUUACAGACGUGAGCAGAACCAAGUUGUGUCCUCGUACCUGUAUAACUCAAACAUCUCCCUUCUCAGUCUCAACGAGGGACCGUGUUUGGACCCAAAUGGGAUAUACUGAGGUUGCAACUUGUCCAGGGUGUACCCUGCCUCCCACCCGCAUGCAGCUGAGAUAGGCUCCAGCACCCCGAGAGGGACAAGCCGUAAAAAAUGGAUGGGAUGGAUCCGAAAAACCUGCCAAGAAGCCUCGAAAAACAUGAAAGCACAUCUGCUCACAUUCAAGGUUUGCAUGGUGAGAAGUCUUCCUUGUGGAAAAUCAGUACGGAAUUGCAUUCAUUUCCCAGUGAUCGAAGCAUCCUUUCUCCCCUGGGGGGCUGAGGGAGGACCCUCACACAAAUGCCACAUUACCAUGGCCCAAACCGCAGACAUGACUGCACGCGUUCUUACAAAUGUCAUCAUAACCAAACUGAUCCAGCGCCAGUGAGGACAUUCUAAUUUGUUUUCUUAUGUGAUCUUAAAUUUUAAUGAUCGCGUCAAAUCAUUAGGGAACAUCGACCAAAGCGCACCUCGCGUAGCUCCGUAGCGCUAAAUGAAAUGCAACGACCUGCUGCUUUGCUGUGACUUUGAUGGACUGGAGGUCGAGGUGCUCGCUGAACGAUGACUGCCUAUUGAUUUUUUCAGGUCUUUCGUCUCUAUCGAAUAACCUUCAACAGCCACUAGCCUCAACACAGCCUUCCUAAUAUGGGCUCUGGGGAUAAUCAGUCACUGCAUGUUCACCAGAGAAUUUCUUUUGAAUGGUUGGUGUGAUGCGUAGGAACACUAAUGCUUGCUUUCUUUACGAGAAAGACGAGGCUUAAUUUAUGAGCGGAAUCGACAAUGCCUGUGUUGUACUCAGGAAUACAGGUGCUCGCUUUCUGCGCAGAAACGACGAAGCUUCGGUUUUACUCAGGAACAAAGAUGCUCGCUUUCUGCUCAGAAAUUACGAUGCUUGUGUUUUACAGAGGAACAAAGAUGCUCGGUGAUGUUCGCUUUCUGUGUAAAAACGACAGUCUUUUUGUUCUGUGCAGGAACACAAAUGCUCACUUUCUAAACGGAAACGACAAAGCCUGUGUUCUGCCCAGAAAUCGUGAAGUUCGCUUUCCGCGUGAAAAUGACAAUGCUUGUGUUUUACACAGAAACAAAGAUGCUUGGUUUCUGCGCGGAAACGACACUCCCUGUGUUCUGUGCAGGAAACAUAGAUACUUGCUUCCUGUGCAAAAAUUACAUUGCUUGUGUUUUACGCAGGAAAAAAACGGAAUGUUAUGAGCAGACAUUGUCGCCGGAACAGUGAUGGUGUGUUCUGCGUGGAAAUUUGGAUGCUUGAGUUUUGCGCAGGAAUGGUUGUGAUCUUGGUGUGCACAGUGACAGAGAAGCUAGUGUCAUACGUGGGGAUGGGUAUUGUUUUCCGGGGCCCAUUUGGUUGUCCGUAGCUUGAAUUUUGUUGGUUUUGUUGUCAAAAUAGAAUAAAAUAAAAAACAACAGUAAAAAUGCAAGAAAAAAGCAUAAAGAUGUAAUGUACGGUAAUGACAAAAAGCUGAAAUCUAUAAACUAAUACUAAUAUGUUUGGUCACUUAUAACACAAUGCUGACAAUAUCUGUUUUUGGCCCAUUAUAAUUUUUAUUUAUUUUUACAAAAUAAAAAAUAUCGAAAUGGCGCCCACAAUAUGGCACUUGGUGUGAUGGAAACAGCUGCUUAAACGGCGCAUUGACUAGUAUUUAAAGAACGGAAAACACUUAAUUUUUGUAAAAAAAAAACAAAAAAACAAUGCCUUUUUAUUUCUAUGAAAUUUUGUGACAUUAAACUGAAUAGUAAUUGAAAUACUUAAAUUAAAUAAAUUAAAAGAUAAAGAAAUACAUUCAAAAAUAUGAAAUACAAGCUAUUGCAGCAAUACAGAACAUUGAGAAUGUGCAAAAAAACAACUUGUAAUGUUGAUACUCAUAAUUACGGGUGUUCAUGAAUGCAACCUGUAUAUGUAUGUGUCAAUGAGGAAGUGCUGUGUUAUAGUUUGGACACUCGAUAGCCUAGCGCUGCGCCGUUGGCGUGUUAAGGUCGGGCAUCAGACUCUGUGUGCUUCUGUCAAGACGCCACAUUACUUACAUAACAAUACUUGCACAAUUUAACCCAAACCACUUGUUGCAGGUUGCUGAGUCUGCAUUCGUUUAGCACCAAAAUGAGCUACUUCUUUUUUUGGUCUGGUUACGACCGUUUAUGUUGGCACCCAUGCCAUUAUGGAACCGGGUUCCGGUGCCCAGUUCUGUGCAGGAACAGUGAUGGUGGGGAUAUCGACAGGAAUUGUGACCCCCCACUCUUGUGUGCAGGAAUAAUGUUUCCUCUAUAUGUGCAGGACAAUAAUGGUCAUAUUCUGUGCAGUAACAGGGGUGUUCCUAAUAUGGGCAGGGAUGCUGAUGUUAAUGGAACAGCCACACUUGUGUUUUGCAUUGGAACAACAACAUGUCAGUUCUGCGCAGGAACAUCAAUGUUUGUGUUAUGGGAAGGAGCAAUAAUAUGCCGUAUUAUGGAUGGGAAUUCUGACGUGUGUAUCAUGCACAGGAACAGUAAUCUUCGAGGUCUGUGCAAAGAAUGGUGAUGUUUUGUUCAAGUGUGCAGAGACAAUGAUACUAAAGAUCUGCACAAGAAAGACAAGGCUUUUGUUGUAGGCAAAAACAAUAACUUUUGUUUUGAAGGCAGUCAUUUUCUGUUCGCACAUAACAAUGAUGCUCAAGUAAUGCGCAGGAACAGGAAGAAUUCACGCCUGCACAUGUUCUACGCGACAACCCUCAGGGGACAAAGUCUGACUUUUUUGUCCUUUCAGUUAAUUUUUGCUGUAUUUUGGCCAUCAUUUUUGCUACGUUAUUCCAUUGUACAUGAUUUUUCAUAAGGGGAUUUUUUAAUGUUGAAUUUUAAAGUUAAAAAAUUAUUUCACAGAUCAGGUGUUUCGACAACACCCCAAAGCCAAACAGGACAAAUAAGUCAUUCAUUUUUUAAUACGUUUUUCAAUCUUUAAUUUUUUUCAAAUCUCAAUCAAAUUCAGCCUUAAACAAAAAUACCAAAUAUAUAUUUGUUAACGCUUUGAAGGCCUGUUAAAAUUGUCACAGUAUUAAUUAAUCAAAUUGGUUUUGUUUUAUUAAUCCAUUUAAAAUCACAAGUUAUUUUCCGAAUUUAAAUCUGUGACAUUGUAUAAUUGAAAGGCCUUCUAAACAGUAAAAUAAAUAAAUAAAA